rnacentral:rRNA from 1 species
AAAUUGAAGAGUUUGAUCAUGGCUCAGAUUGAACGCUGGCGGCAGGCCUAACACAUGCAAGUCGAACGGUAACAGGAAGCAGCUUGCUGCUUUGCUGACGAGUGGCGGACGGGUGAGUAAUGUCUGGGAAACUGCCUGAUGGAGGGGGAUAACUACUGGAAACGGUGGCUAAUACCGCAUAACGUCGCAAGACCAAAGAGGGGGACCUUCGGGCCUCUUGCCAUCAGAUGUGCCCAGAUGGGAUUAGCUUGUUGGUGAGGUAACGGCUCACCAAGGCGACGAUCCCUAGCUGGUCUGAGAGGAUGACCAGCCACACUGGAACUGAGACACGGUCCAGACUCCUACGGGAGGCAGCAGUGGGGAAUAUUGCACAAUGGGCGCAAGCCUGAUGCAGCCAUGCCGCGUGUAUGAAGAAGGCCUUCGGGUUGUAAAGUACUUUCAGCGGGGAGGAAGGUGUUGCGGUUAAUAACCGCAGCAAUUGACGUUACCCGCAGAAGAAGCACCGGCUAACUCCGUGCCAGCAGCCGCGGUAAUACGGAGGGUGCAAGCGUUAAUCGGAAUUACUGGGCGUAAAGCGCACGCAGGCGGUCUGUCAAGUCGGAUGUGAAAUCCCCGGGCUCAACCUGGGAACUGCAUUCGAAACUGGCAGGCUUGAGUCUUGUAGAGGGGGG